UUCCGCUCGCGUAGCAGUCUACCUGUUUUGCUCGCCGACGAAGCAUGUCGUUCGUUCUCUCUCUGAGUGUGCUCUUGGCCUUGGGUGGAGUCGCUGUGGGGUCCAGUCAAACCUGCCAAGCGGAUUCGAAUUGUUCCCGUGGGCAGAGAUGCGUUUCUCACUUCAACUUCGCAAGUUCUGCGAACUGUGAAGAAUCCCGUUAUUGUAUCCCCGUAACCAGUGGAUCAUGCACG